CGCUGAGCUAAAUCCCCAGCACCCCCUCUUUUCUUUUAAUGGGAUUCCAACCACUCAAAAAGAGGAAGAGGGCUGUGGGUACAGCUCACAAGGUUUGUAAGGCCCUUGGGUCAAUCCCCAACAUUAGAAAGAGGUGUGGGGGAAAGUGAUCCCCUCUGUAGGAGCACCUCCACUCCUGAAGCUUAAAGGAAAUGUCUUUUCUCAUACUUUGGAAGCAAAGGGUGGUUCUUCCUAGACAGGGAGAAUAUAAGGUGUCAGGGGAGCCCUAAACCCUAGUAGACAUCUAACUUCCAGUUGGUGCCUUCACAUCCAGGCUGUGAUUCAGAACCAGUGAGUUAAUGUUAUGUGGGUCACAGUGGGACCCAGAUGCAGGAGAGCCCACUGUAGCCCCUCUACCAGCUAACAGGAGAGGUGGCUCUCCGACCUCUUGGCCCUUGUAGGGAUCCAGGCAGGUUUCUUCUUAGGCCCAGGCCCAGCUGCCUGAACACCCUCCUCUGCAUAUGAAUGACACCCCAUCCUGCAAGUCCUCCGAGAUCUGCAGAGGGACCUGAAGUGUGCAUAUGUGAGCUCCAGGCCUCAACUGAAGAGACUCUGCCUCCCCUCCUGUCCAGAAAGCCUCAAGGUGAAGAGAAGAAACACAGGGCACCCCAGGAGUCAGGCACUGCCUUCAAUUAACAAGUCAUCAAAAACCCCAGCGUCUUCCUGACAGUGAUCACUCUGGUGUCUCUACCCUUUUCCUUUCUUCCCGACCCAGAACAGGUUCUCUGCAACCCUCAUUCCUGCCAACACCUCCUCCCCAUGGUUCAGCCCAGCCUCUGGACUUUGUCUCACCUCUGGAGGGAGAAGCGGUAGAGGUCCGAGCUCAGCUCUUGCCCUGCCCACCAGGGCCUUAGCAUCGCGGCCAAGACGCCAGUUGCACCAAAAGGUACAGGGUAAAGUACAGGAGCGUUCAUAUGCCGCACAUACAUGCACAUACGCAAUGCUGCUUCCUCAGGCCCUCAGGAGCCCUGCUCCCUACACUUCUUACUUGAUCCAUAUGAAAAUUCCAGCGACAGAGGAACUCAAGGCAUAUGAGUUCAGGAACACAUGAGUUCAGGAACACACCGCUCCCCAAUAGGGAAAGAGUUGAGAAGAGUCUCUGGGAUUUUUCUUACAGUGGCCAAGCAGGCCUGCCUAGGACCAAGGUGGGCCAGGGCAAUUUCCUAGGCUUUCCUAGGCACAAGGCAGUGUUAGGCCAGAUGAACAGCAGCAGCCUUACCCUGCAACCCAAAACCACGAGGCAGCCCUUUGCGCCUGCCCCUCCCUCCACCCCUUUCUACCCUUAGCUUUCCAUCUACAGGAGUCCUACACUCCAGGGGGCUGAGUCAUGCCUCUCCCAACACCAAAGGCCCCCUCUACACCAACUUUAGAGCAAGUGGCCAGAGGCACUGCUCCCUGAGACCUUUAGUCUACUCCACCAACCACACCACCACCCCUUUCCUAACCUAUCUAGUCUUUGGGGAAAGCUGAUGAACAACCAGCUCAGUGCCUGGGCCCCUCCCUCCCACCUGGCCAGGUGCUAAAGGACCUUCUGUUGGCGGGCUCAGCUCACCACAUGGUGAGCCGAGAACGUUCUGGCGAGAGAUACUGGGGGAGGGCCCUCAACUCGGGCUCCGCCACCCCCACUAAAGUGGUCUAGAGCAGGUUCCCACCCCCACGUGAAGCCCUGAGGUCCUCGGUGCCACUUUUGAGCGGCAGCAUAAGGAGGACAUUUUUGUGAAACUGAGGGAGACAGGUACUGGCACAUAGUUUCCAGAACUGGUAGAUCCCCUCUUCCACCACUCCAACCUCCUCCUCGACCCUCCCAACUUCAGACCUCGAACAGACGCCCCAAACCAAAGUUUUCUAGAAGCGCCCCGCCUCCACCCAGCCCUAUGUGGGCUGGGAUCCUUCGUAACCAUUUGCCCAGGAAAAGGAGAGUCUAAAGUAUGGGAUGACGAUCACUGGAGAAACUGGGGACCUCAAGGGGGGACCCGUGGCGCGGUGGGAGGAGUUACGCGGCCGGCCCGAACCAGUACCGCGCGCCCCGAGCCGCAACGAGAGUGGGGGUUGGGGGCGGCACCGAGCGCGGAGCCGGCCGGGGGGGAUCCGCGCCUGGAGUCCGCGCAGCGCACGCGCCCGCCAGGUGCGCCCCCCGCCACCGCCA